rnacentral:sRNA from 1 species
GCACGUUAUGGGGUUUCCACCUAGCGCUCGGCCUGAGGCUUGUAACACUCCGUUUUCCCCCGAGUCACAGGGGCAGUCUUGCCCCUUGCAGCUGGGUCGCGGUGUCUCUCAAAGGUCCCCCUCUACAGGCUUCGUGAGGCCCGGGCCCACAGGGGGCUCGGUCCCGGAAGUGACGUCUCCCAGAGGGGCCGGAAGUGGCAGUGGAGGGAGGGAAGAUGGCGGAGGUGGGGGAGAUAAUCGAGGGCUGCCGCCUACCCGUGCUGCGGCGGAACCAGGACAACGAAGAUGAGUGGCCCCUGGCCGAGAUCCUGAGCGUGAAGGACAUCAGUGGCCGGAAGCUUUUCUACGUCCAUUACAUUGACUUCAACAAACGUCUGGAUGAAUGGGUGACGCACGAGCGGCUGGACCUAAAGAAGAUCCAGUUCCCCAAGAAAGAGGCCAAGACCCCCACCAAGAACGGACUUCCUGGGUCCCGUCCCGGCUCUCCAGAGAGAGAGGUGGUGAGUAGGUCCCCCACUUCACCUCUUCUCUCCUGCCUCCUAUUUCUCUUGUCUGUUGGCAUUAGGGGCUCCUGGAUGGGCAGGAGGCGGCUCCCUCUCACCCUGACUUCAUCUUGCAAAGGAUGGGGGCCAAAUUGCACAUAUAGCUCCCAGAGUCCAGUAGCUAGUCCUGUGUCCUUCAGAAGGCGAGGGUGGGGUUUGAUAAUUUUGAGGUGAGGGACCCCUCUUCCCCUUCCCCAUCCCACUGCCAUCCCCGCCCCA